UUUAGUCCUUUUCUUUCUUGCAAUGUUUGAUCUUUUGACAAUCUAUUUUUGAAAAUUUUUCUGGCCAGAAUGAUUUCUACGGCGACAUAUUUGGAUUCCUUGCAGUUCAUCCUAUCACCGCUUUAGUCUCCCUCCACCAUUUCAACAAGAUACAACCAAUAAUUCCUCAGAAGAGUAGGUUGCGAGUCCUAGAAAAGCUCAGGGCUCCGGCCAAACUAGACCCUGCUGCACUCAUGCAAAAAUCCAUUUGCCAUGCCCAAAACACGAAAUUGGAGUGUAUAUGUAUCUUGGAGCUAUGCAGUUCAGAUAUAUCGGGGCAUACUUUAUCCACGAGAAAUAUAAAUGAUAGCCAGAAGGCCCAGAACCUUUUUCAUUUGAUACCUAACAGUUAAUCCUGAAGGUUUCACAUUCAGCAACCGACCUUACUACGAGCAUGUAUGUUUCACAUUUGUGACUGGGAAAUAGGCCGUCCUUUACAAAUAGAUCGAGUGGAGGUUCAUAAGAGACCUAAACCUUACCUUACCUAUGGGAUGGGGCUCCUAGAAGAAACUGUUGCAGAACCUUACCCACAGAGAAAAAAUGACACGUUGGAAGUUCAGGUAGCAGAAUGCAGAGAAGAUGAUGAAGUCAUUGAAGUUCGGUGACAGAGAUUGAAGAGCUUGUUUUUUAAUGUGCCUUGUGUAAUUGAUUAAUUUUUUCCAUCAGCAUCUAGCAUUGCAGAUUUUGAUGAUAAAAAACUUGGGGCAGCGAAAGAAAGGGAGUUAGCUCAUUUACGUGGAUACCAUGAUUCAAUUGUAUAGGUCAGUAUUUAUUUUAUUUUGGAAAACCUCAAAAUUACCUUUUUCUACAGGAGCAAAUCAGCUUCAUUGAUGAGAUUGCAUGCUUUCACUCAAAAUGCUGGCAGAGGAUAUGAGUCUGUCUGAUUUGUUUGCUUGUGAUAUGCUCUAGGCUACUGUGCCUCCUGGCCAUGUUUCAGCAGUUGAUAUCGAAUGAUGUUCCUUUAUGCUGUAAAAGUGAUGUUUUAUUAGCUUUUAGACAAGCUGUGGAUGGUUAAGCAAGUUAGGUUUCAUUGUGUUGGAAUUGACCUUUGGAUGCAUGGCUACAGCUUCGUUAGGUAUUGUGGUCUCUGGACCACAGCUGUGGCCCUUGGUGUUUUCUGUCGUUGUCUCAUGGACAACGUCAAAGUUUUCCAAGGCAUCACCAGGAGUUCUUCAGCUCUCUCUAUUAUUUGCUAGUUUCCUCUUGCACGAGUGCCACCGAACAAGUAAUUCCCUCUGCAACUGAAGCAGCAAUUUUCUAAGAAUAAUAUUUAUGCCUUCUACUAGUUAA